rnacentral:rRNA from 1 species
UACGGAGGAUGCAAGUGUUAUCCGGAAUCACUGGGCGUAAAGCGUCUGUAGGUGGUGUAAUAAGUCAACUGUUAAAUCUUGAGGCUCAACCUCAAAAUCGCAGUCGAAACUAUUAGGCUAGAGUAUAGUAGGGGUAAAGGGAAUUUCCAGUGGAGCGGUGAAAUGCGUAGAGAUUGGAAAGAACACCGAUGGCGAAGGCACUUUACUGGGCUAUUACUAACACUCAGAGACGAAAGCUAGGGUAGCAAAUGGG